UGGGGAAUAUUGCACAAUGGGCGCAAGCCUGAUGCAGCCAUGCCGCGUGUAUGAAGAAGGCCUUCGGGUUGUAAAGUACUUUUAGCGGGGAGGAAGGGAGUAAAGUUAAUACCUUUGCUCAUUGACGUUACCCGCAGAAGAAGCACCGGCUAACUCCGUGCCAACAGCCGCGGUAAUACGGAGGGUGCAAGCGUUAAUCGGAAUUACUGGGCGUAAAGCGCACGCAGGCGGUUUGUUAAGUCAGAUGUGAAAUCCCCGGGCUCAACCUGGGAACUGCAUCUGAUACUGGCAAGCUUGAGUCUCGUAGAGGGGGGUAGAAUUCCAGGUGUAGCGGUGAAAUGCGUAGAGAUCUGGAGGAAUACCGGUGGCGAAGGCGGCCCCCUGGACGAAGACUGACGCUCAGGUGCGAAAGCGUGGGGAGCAAACAGG
rnacentral:rRNA from 1 species